rnacentral:rRNA from 1 species
AGAGGGUGCAGGCGUUGUCCGGAAUCACUGGGCGUAAAGGGCGCGUAGGCGGCCUGAUAAGUAGGGGGUGAAAUCCUGGGGCUUAACCUCAGGGCUGCCCUCUAGACUGUCCGGCUCGAGCACAGUAGAGGCAGGUGGAAUUCCCGGUGUAGCGGUGGAAUGCGUAGAGAUCGGGAAGAACAUCGGUGGCGAAGGCGGCCUGCUGGGCUGUUGCUGACGCUGAGGCGCGACAGCGUGGGGAGCAAACAGGAUUAGAUACCCUGGUAGUCCACGCCGUAAACGAUGGGUACUAGGCGUCGGGGGGAGCGACCCCCUCGGUGCCGUCGCUAACGCAGUAAGUACCCCGCCUGGGGAGUACGGCCGCAAGGCUG